rnacentral:rRNA from 1 species
CAGUCGCCGCGGGAAUACGGAGGAUCCAAGCGUUAUCCGGAUUUAUUGGGUUUAAAGGGUGCGUAGGUGGCCUGUUAAGUCAGGGGUGAAAGACGGUAGCUCAACUAUCGCAGUGCCCUUGAUACUGAUGGGCUUGAAUGAACUAGAGGUAGGCGGAAUGUGACAAGUAGCGGUGAAAUGCAUAGAUAUGUCACAGAACACCAAUUGCGAAGGCAGCUUACUAUGGUUUGAUUGACACUGAGGCACGAAAGCGUGGGGAUCAAACAGGAUUAGAUACCCGCGUAGUACCUGUCUCUUAUAC